rnacentral:lncRNA from 1 species
GAGCACAGCUACAGCUAGGAGGGCAAGAGCAGGCAGCAGCCCCCGAGCCGGGCCACAUGCAACACAAACAACCCCACACCUGCGUCCUCCAGAAGCCCUGCCUGGCACAGUGGCAUGCGGGUGUCACGUCUGCAGAGGAGGGCACGGGGUCCACCUGAGACCGACCAGCUGCAGCAGGGCUGGCAGAUCCUGCGGAGGAAUGCUGCCCUAACUGUGAUGAGCCUCUGAAGCUCAGGCCUUGCCCCUCACCAGCGUGUGGCAGCACAAUGGAUGCAUCAUACUUUUCUAGCCACAUGGAGACACUGACUGUCCAAAUACCAGAAACCCUGCGGGAAGCCAAGGCAAGAAGAACCAUGAAGAAAGU